UACGAAGGGUGCAAGCGUUACUCGGAAUUACUGGGCGUAAAGCGUGCGUAGGUGGUUUGUUAAGUCUGCUGUGAAAGCCCCGGGCUCAACCUGGGAAUGGCAGUGGAUACUGGCAAGCUAGAGUGCGGUAGAGGGGUGUGGAAUUCCCGGUGUAGCGGUGAAAUGCGUAGAGAUCGGGAGGAACACCAGUGGCGAAGGCGGCACCCUGGACCAGCACUGACACUGAGGCACGAAAGCGUGGGUAGCAAACAGG
rnacentral:rRNA from 1 species